UACAGAGGUCCCAAGCGUUGUUCGGAUUCACUGGGCGUAAAGGGUGCGCAGGUGGGCUGGUAAGUUCGAUGUGAAAGCCCCGGGCUUAACCCGGGAAUGGCAUUGGAUACUACUGGUCUGGAGGAUUGGAGGGGGGACUGGAAUUCUUGGUGUAGCAGUGAAAUGCGUAGAUAUCAAGAGGAACACCAGUGGCGAAGGCGAGUCCCUGGACAAUUCCUGACACUGAGGCACGAAAGCUAGGGGAGCAAACAGG
rnacentral:rRNA from 1 species